GCCAUUAAAAGUUGUACAAAUCAUGACGCUGCACCUCACGGUUUACGUUCUAGGGGGCGCCAAAGAUAACCCAAAAAUCCACAUUCUUAAAAGUCUAAUAACUUUUUAUUUUUGUCCUCACUGGCCUCCAAGUUUUCUAGGAUGAUGCAAUGACCAGCCAUCAACACAUUUGUGAAGGAAUUUUUUCUCCCCAAAAGAGCGCCCCACCAUGGCAGGAGAAAAAAGUCCAUUUUUUCUUGUCCCCUAAGGUGAAAAUACAUAUUGUUGAGUGUCACGCCUAUACGCUUUGUCAUAUUGACAUAAAAUUUGACACACACGUGUAUCUCAAUAAGAUCUACAAAAAAGUCUAUGCGCACGUAUCUGUCAAAUGUACAGUUAAAGGGCUAUUUCGCAUUUUUUGCGGAACCGCACACAUUGGAAUUUCGCUAACUCCUCCGAAGGCUUUCGUUCCACUGGCACCAAAUUUGCUCAGGCCAAUCUACACCCCAUGGCCAUUAAAAGUUGUACAAAUCAUGACGCUGCACCCCACGGUUUACGUUCUAGGGGGCGCCAAAGAUAACCCAAAAAUCCACAGUCUUAAAAGUCUUAUAACUUUUUAUUUUUGUCCUCACUGGCCUCCAAGUUUUCUAGGAUGAUGCAAUGUCCAGCCAUCAACACAUUUGUGAAGGAAUUUUUACUUCCCAAAAGAGCGCCCCCCCAUGGCAGGAGAAAAAAGUCCAUUUUUUCUUGUCCCAUAAGGUGAAAAUACACAUUGUUGAGUGUCACGCCUGUACGCUUUGUCAUAUUGAAACAAAAUUUGACAAUCACGUGUAUCUCAAUAAGAUCUACGAAAAAGUCAAUGCGCACGUAUCUGUAAAAUGUACGGUUAAAGGGCUAUUACGCAUUUUUGAUCGAUUCGCACACAUUGGAAUGUGGCUAACUCCUCCUAAAGCUUUCGUUCCACCGGCACCACAUUUGCUCAGGCCAAUCUACACCCGAUGGCCAUUAAAAGUUGUACAAAUCAUGACGCUGCACCCCACGGUUUACGUUCUAGGGGGCGCCAAAGAUAACCCAAAAAUCCACAUUCUUAAAAGUCUUAUAACUUUUCAUUUUUGUCCUCACUGGCUUCCAAGUUUUCUAGGAUGAUGCAAUGUCUAGCCAUCAACACAUUUGUGAAGGAAUUUUUACUCCCCAAAACAGCGCCCCCCCCCCCAUGGCAGGAGAAAAAGUCAAGUUUUUCCUGCCCAUCGCUCAA